CAGUAGCCACGGGAAUACGAAGGGGGCUAGCGUUGUUCGGAUUUACUGGGCGUAAAGGGUGCGUAGGCGGAUUGUUAAGUCAGGGGUGAAAUCCCGAGGCUCAACCUCGGAACUGCCUUUGAUACUGGCGAUCUUGAGUCCGGGAGAGGUGAGUGGAACUGCGAGUGUAGAGGUGAAAUUCGUAGAUAUUCGCAAGAGCACCGGUGGCGAAGGCGGCUCACUGGCCCGGUACUGACGCUGAGGCACGAAAGCGUGGGGAGCAAACAGGAUUAGAUACCCCCGUAGUCCCUGUCUCUUAUAC
rnacentral:rRNA from 1 species